UACGGAAGGGGGCUAGCGUUGUUCGGAAUUACUGGGCGUAAAGCGCACGUAGGCGGAUAUUUAAGUCAGGGGUGAAAUCCCAGAGCUCAACUCUGGAACUGCCUUUGAUACUGGGUAUCUUGAGUAUGGAAGAGGUGAGUGGAAUUCCGAGUGUAGAGGUGAAAUUCGUAGAUAUUCGGAGGAACACCAGUGGCGAAGGCGGCUCACUGGUCCAUUACUGACGCUGAGGUGCGAAAGCGUGGGGGAGCAAACAGG
rnacentral:rRNA from 1 species